UGUUUGAAAGUGCUUAGAGUUAUUUUUGCUAAUCGUCAUCGAACCUGCGGUUGGAGGUUUUCAUGCUGGAACUGGCUCACACUCCAGUUCACCUGGCAGGAAUGGACUUGUUCACGUUUGACAACUCCCUCAUCACCGAUGUUGCCGCAUUCUCCAUGUCCAUGAUGAUGAUUUUCGUCCAGUUCUUGACGUAGGGUGUGUAAAGUGUCACCACACCAACACAAUGACAUCAUAUUCUAUUACCAGUUUUCAGAAACUACAUAUUAUACAGCAUGGCUGUAGGAAAACACAAUAAAGAUAACAAAUAACGGACAGAUUUCCUGAAUACUUUCAGCAGUAUUGUAUUUAUAUUUUAGUAAGAAUAUAUUUGUGUUUAAAAUUAACACAGUGAUGUUUCCUACCCAAUGUCACACAA